GUCCAAGGCCAUAACACCCUGAACAUGCCCGAUCUCGACAGAUCUUGGAAGUUAAGCAGGGUUGGGCAUGGUUAGUACUUGGAUGGGAUACUCUAUGAGUUUUAAUAU
rnacentral:rRNA from 1 species